rnacentral:rRNA from 1 species
AUUGAACGCUGGCGGCAUGCCUUACACAUGCAAGUCGAACGGCAGCACGGGAGCAAUCCUGGUGGCGAGUGGCGAACGGGUGAGUAAUAUAUCGGAACGUGCCCAGUCGUGGGGGAUAACGCAGCGAAAGCUGUGCUAAUACCGCAUACGAUCUACGGAUGAAAGCGGGGGAUCGCAAGACCUCGCGCGAUUGGAGCGGCCGAUAUCAGAUUAGCUAGUUGGUGGGGGAAGGGCCCACCAAGGCGACGAUCUGUAGCUGGUCUGAGAGGACGACCAGCCACACUGGGACUGAGACACGGUCCAGACUCCUACGGGAGGCAGCAGUGGGGAAUUUUGGACAAUGGGCGCAAGCCUGAUCCAGCAAUGCCGCGUGCAGGAUGAAGGCCUUCGGGUUGUAAACUGCUUUUGUACGGAACGAAACGGCCCUUUCUAAUACAGGGGGCUAAUGACGGUACCGUAAGAAUAAGCACCGGCUAACUACGUGCCAGCAGCCGCAGUAA